rnacentral:rRNA from 1 species
GAUCAUUAAUGGGUUAACGCCUUCGGGCACAAUCCCCACCCUUUGUAACUGCGGCCCGGAUUCGGCGCCUGGCGGGGAGCUCCCUCUGUUCGCGGAGGGCCCCGCCUGCCGGAAUUAGCCAACCCUGCCUAGAAAAUUGAAGUCUGAGAACAAGUAAAUUAAACAAAACUUUCAACAACGGAUCUCUUGGUUCUGGCAACGAUGAAGAACGCAGCGAAAUGCGAUAAGUAAUGUGAAUUGCAGAAUUCAGUGAAUCAUCGAAUCUUUGAACGCACAUUGCGCCCCCUGGUAUUCCGGGGGGCACACCUGUUCGAGCGCCAUUUCUACCCUGGAGCCCUGCUCUGUGAUGGGCCCCGUCCUCGCGGACGGGCCCGAAACCCGUGGGCGCCGUCGUCCGGUCCCGAGCGUAGCAAGAGAAAUCCCUCGCUCGGAGCAUCAGGCGGUGGCCGCCCCGACCCAUUUUUACAAGGUUGGCCUCGGAUCAGGUGGGGAUACCCGCUGAACUUAAGCAUAUCAAUAAGCGGAGGAAAAGAAACCAACAGGGAUUGCCUCAGUAACGGCGAGUGAAGCGGCAACAGCUCAAAUUUGAAAUCUGGCUCACGCCCGAGUUGUAAUUUGUAGAGGAUGUUUCGGGUGAAGCCGCGGUCCAAGUCCCUUGGAACAGGACGUCAUAGAGGGUGAGAACCCCGUACCUGGCCGCCGGUGCCCCCCGCUGUGAAACUCCUUCGACGAGUCGAGUUGUUUGGGAAUGCAGCUCUAAAUUGGUGGUAAAUUCCAUCUAAAGCUAAAUACCGGCCAGAGACCGAUAGCGCACAAGUAGAGUGAUCGAAAGAUGAAAAGCACUUUGAAAAGAGAGUUAAAAAGUACGUGAAAUUGUUGAAAGGGAAGCGCUUGCGGCCAGACUUGCCUGCGGUUGCUCAUCCCGCCUUUUGGCGGGUGCACUCUUCCGCAGUCAGGCCAGCAUCGGUUUGGGCGGUCGGAUAAAGGCGCUGGGAACGUGGCCUCCCCUC